UACCUGACCUGGAGAUGGUGAAGUGGCAGU
rnacentral:piRNA from 1 species